rnacentral:rRNA from 1 species
UAUGGCAAAUGUGAGAUGCAGUGUAUGGAACAUCAAUAUUCUAGUAUGAGAAAUUAACGAUUUAAGUCCUUCUUAAAUGAGGCCAUUUACCCAUAGAGGGUGCCAGGCCCGUAUAACGUUAAUGAUUAUUAGAUGGUGUUUCCAAAGAGUCGUGUUGCUUGAUAGUGCAGCACUAAGUGGGUGGUAAACUCCAUCUAAAACUAAAUAUAACCAUGAGACCGAUAGUAAACAAGUACCGUGAGGGAAAGUUGAAAAGAACUCUGAAUAGAGAGUUAAAUAGUACGUGAAACUGCUUAGAGGUUAAGCCCGAUGAACCUGAAUAUCCGUUAUGGAAAAUUCAUCAUUAGAGUUGUAAUAUUUAAACAAUAUUAUAAUAAUAGUGUGCAUUUUUUCCAUAUAAGGACAUUGUAAUCUAUUAGUAUCAUAAAUUUAUCAAAAAAUUUAAGAAAAUAGUUUAUUUAAAUUAGAAUGCUUGCAUUUUAACACAAAAUAAAUUUCAUAAAUUUGAUAAAGUGCUGAUAGAUUUAUAUGAAUACAGUGCGUUAAUUUUUCGGAAUUAUAUAAUGGCAUGAUUAUCAUUGAUUUUUAUGUUUAUUAUAUGCACUUGUAUGAUUAACAAUGCGAAAGAUUCAGGAUACCUUCGGGACCCGUCUUGA